ACUUUGAAGCUACAUUUAAUAUUUUCUCCAAGUACAAAAGAAAAUUUAAUCGCCAAAUUAUAAAUCGAGGCUAAGGUAUUGCCAAAUGGCUGUGAGAAUAAUAUAAAAAGGGUUUCGUUUGUCUGUUUGCUUUUUCUUUUUGUUGUGUUGUGUUUUGUUUUGUUUUAGCUUCUGCACACGCAUGGUCUGGCAAGUCCGGCAGUGAAAAUUUAAAGAACACAUCUCAUAUCUGAAGAAGUCUGCCCUUGGCAAGGUAAAGGCAACACCUGACUGAUAUAUUGGCUUCCCACUGAGGUGUCGCAUUGAAGCAAAAAAGUUUCAUGCAUUUGCCUCAGUCAGUAUUGCUGUAAACCUAAACCUCACGGAAGGCUAUUAUAGCAUCGGGAACAGAUGGUGAAGAUUUCCAUAAAACAGAAAGGGAAACAGACUUGUCUGAAGUGAGGUCACUAUUCUCUUUCAUGAGGACUCUACUCUCGUGACCUAAUCACCUCCCAAAGGCCCUGCCUCCCAAUUCCAUCAGGAGAACAUGAAAUGAGAGCACAUGGUCCCUUUCUAUGAACUGCAGGUACCUUCAUAACAAAGCAAAAGUCACAAUCUUAUACCCAGAAGCAAUUGCCAGAAUGCUUCAGUUGGACUAGGAAGAAUCAGAACUUAUUUCUAUUAAUUCGAUCUAUGGGCAAAUCCAUCACCUAAUAUUGCUGCAGCAAACAUGAAGGGAGCUGGAAGAGUAUAUGAGCAGGCUCUGUUUUUGAGGAGAGUAACACUAAAAAGCCCUGGACUUCAUUUUGGACACCUUCAGAUGCAUCAUGAUGAUUCAGAUGACGAUUUAGGACCCACGUCAACCUUUUGGCUUCUGCCUUGUGAAUAGCUACCGAAGAUGUGGGAUUAAGAGCUGCCAAGCCACAAUCCUGGAUACGUUGCUUACACUGCUGCCAUCACAUAUCAUAUCCAGCUCAAGGGAGAAAGCCUGGACUAUAAGAUGAGAUUGCUCUGAGAUCAGGGGUAGAAGACAAGGAUGUAAAGAGCAUUUGGAGCCACUUGUUCCUUCCCAACCCAUCGCAGCUACAUAAAUGACAUUUGUUCAAGAGCCCGGUGUUAAGAGUGCUGAGUUUUGGGGCGCCUGGAUGGCUCAGUCGGUCGAGUGUCCGACUCUUGAUUUUGGCUCAGGUCACGAUCCC